rnacentral:rRNA from 1 species
GAGGGGGUCGCGGCUGAUUAGCUAGUUGGCGGGGUAACGGCCCACCAAGGCGAUGAUCAGUAGCCGGCCUGAGAGGGCGCACGGCCACACUGGAACUGAAACACGGUCCAGACUCCUACGGGAGGCAGCAGUGGGGAAUUUUGCACAAUGGGGGAAACCCUGAUGCAGCAACGCCGCGUGGAGGAUGAAGCCCCUUGGGGCGUAAACUCCUUUCGAUCGGGACGAUAAUGACGGUACCGGAAGAAGAAGCACCGGCUAACUCUGUGCCAGCAGCCGCGGUAAUACAGAGGGUGCAAGCGUUGUCCGGAAUUAUUGGGCGUAAAGGGCGCGUAGGCGGUGCGGUAAGUAUGCUGUGAAGUCUCUGGGCUCAACUCAGAGCUGGCAGCGUAGACUGCCGUGCUGGAGUGUGGGAGAGGUGCGUGGAAUUCCCGGUGUAGCGGUGAAAUGCGUAGAUAUCGGGAGG